GUAAGGAAUAUUGGACAAUGGUCGCAAGACUGAUCCAGCCAUGCCGCGUGCAGGAUGAAGGUGCUCUGCAUUGUAAACUGCUUUUAUUCGGGAAUAAACCCCUUCACGUGUGGAGGGCUGAAUGUACCGAAAGAAUAAGGGACGGCUAACUUCGUGCCAGCAGCCGCGGUAAUACGAAGGUCCCAAGCGUUAUCCGGAUUUAUUGGGUUUAAAGGGUGCGUAGGCGGGUUGUUAAGUCAGUGGUGAAAGCCUACAGCUUAACUGUAGAAUUGCCAUUGAUACUGACGAUCUUGAGUGUGGUUGAGGUGGGCGGAAUGUAUCAUGUAGCGGUGAAAUGCUUAGAUAUGAUACAGAACACCGAUUGCGAAGGCAGCUCACUAAGCCACUACUGACGCUGAGGCACGAAAGCGUGGGGAGCAAACAGGAUUAGAUACCCGAGUAGUCC
rnacentral:rRNA from 1 species